GACGAACGCUGGCGGCGUGCUUAACACAUGCAAGUCGAGCGGUAAGGCCCUUUCGGGGGUACGACGAGCGGCGAACGGGUGAGUAACACGUGGGUGACCUGCCCUCAGCUCUGGGAUAAGCCUGGGAAACCGGGUCUAAUACUGGAUAUGACUCCAUGACGCAUGUUGUGGGGUGGAAAGCCUUGUGCGGCUGAGGAUGGGCCCGCGGCCUAUCAGCUUGUUGGUGGGGUGAGGCCUACCAAGGCGACGACGGGUAGCCGGCCUGAGAGGGCGACCGGCCACACUGGGACUGAGACACGGCCCAGACUCCUACGGGAGACAGCAGUGGGGAAUCUUGCGCAAGUGGGCGAAAGCCUGACGCAGCGACGCCGCGUGAGGGAUGACGGCCUGGU
rnacentral:rRNA from 1 species